AGCGUUGUCCGGAAUUAUUGGGCGUAAAGAGCUCGUAGGCGGUUUGUCGCGUCUGCUGUGAAAUCCCGAGGCUCAACCUCGGGCUUGCAGUGGGUACGGGCAGACUAGAGUGCGGUAGGGGAGACUGGAAUUCCUGGUGUAGCGGUGGAAUGCGCAGAUAUCAGGAGGAACACCGAUGGCGAAGGCAGGUCUCUGGGCCGCAACUGACGCUGAGGAGCGAAAGCGUGGGGAGCGAACAGG
rnacentral:rRNA from 1 species